CUGUAUUUAAUGGUGUUAUGUAGUUGUGUUGUCAUGUUGUGAAUGUUGUAUUGUAGCAGGCCUAACCCUCAACAUUUUCUGGUGAUGGAGAGAGACACAGACAAGACACAGACACAGCAACAGAAUAGGAUAUGAUGGAGAGAGACACCAGACAAGACACAGAGACAACAACAGAAUAGGAUAUGAUGGAGAGAGACACCAGACAAGACACAGAGACAGCAACAGAAUAGGAUAUGAUGGAGAGAGACACCAGACAAGACACAGACACAGCAACAGAGGAAUAGGAUAUGAUGGAGAGAGACACAGACAAGACACAGACACAGCAACAGAGGAAUAGGAUAUGAUGGAGAGAGACACCAGACAAGACACAGAGACAGCAACAGAAUAGGAUAUGAUGGAGAGAGACACCAGACAAGACACAGACACAGCAACAGAGGAAUAGGAUAUGAUGGAGAGAGACACAGACAAGACACCGAGACAACAACAGAAUAGGAUAUGAUGGAGAGACACACCAGACAGGACACAGACAGCAACAGAGGAAUAGGAUAUGAUGGAGAGAGACACCAGACAAGACACCGAGACAGCAACAGAAUAGGAUAUGACGGAGAGAGACACCAGACAAGACACAGACACAGCAACAGAGGAAUAGGAUAUGAUGGAGAGAGACACCAGACAAGACACAGAGACAGCAACAGACUAGGAUAUGAUGGAGAGAGACACAGACAAGACACAGACACAGCAACAGAAUAGGAUAUGAUGGAGAGAGACACCAGACAAGACACGGAGACAGCAACAGACGACACAGAGAAAGUGAUGGAGAGAGACAGAAGAAUAGAGUUCCAGACAGUUGUAGAAUGUAUGCCAAGACACAUUUUAAGAGCUAUAAAGAGAGAGGGAGAGAGAACAGGCAGAACCUGAUAUGUAAAUGAGCAGAGCAAAUGAAAGUAACAUUCAAUGACCUGAUGAUCAUUCAGACUCUGUUUCUAUUGAGAGAUAAAAGGCUGGUUGAAUGAGUUGCCUAUGAAAGCUACUUCAUCUGUAAGAAAACAGGCGGCUGCACCAGUGACUGGGUCAGUGCUCUAAAAUGAGUCUCUCUGGGGAGAGAGAGGAGGGGGGCCCUGCCUCCAAAAUGAG